ACGGGAGGCAGCAGUGGGGAAUAUUGCACAAUGGGCGCAAGCCUGAUGCAGCGAUGCCGCGUGAGGGAAGAAGGUUUUCGGAUUGUAAACCUCUGUCAACAGGGACGAAAAUGACGGUACCUGUGAAGGAAGCUCCGGCUAACUACGUGCCAGCAGCCGCGGUAAUACGUAGGGAGCAAGCGUUAUCCGGGAUUACUGGGUGUAAAGGGAGUGUAGGCGGGACUGUAAGUCAGAUGUGAAAUAUGCCGGCUCAACUGGCAGACUGCAUUUGAAACUGCGGUUCUUGAGUGAAGUAGAGGUAAGCGGAAUUCCUAGUGUAGCGGUGAAAUGCGUAGAUAUUAGGAGGAACAUCAGUGGCGAAGGCGGCUUACUGGACAGAGACUGACGCUGAGGCUCGAAAGCGUGGGGAGCAAACAGGAUUAGAUACCCUGGUA
rnacentral:rRNA from 1 species